UUAAAUUGCUGUAGUAUUUUGACUAUACAAAGGUAUUGUAAUAAGACUUUAAUUGGGUGCUAAGAGAAUGGACUUUCAAAAAAAUUCUUUUUUAAAUUUAAAAAUUAAAGUUAUUUUUAUUUGUGAAGAAACAAUAAUGAAAAUUAUAGACAAGAAGACCCUAUGAAUUUUAACUAAAUUAAACUAAAGCUUUAGUUUAAUUUAGUUUAAUUGGGGCGAUUAAAAAAAAUAAUAAACUUUUUAUAAAAUAAAAUGAUCCAUAAAUUAUGAUUAAAUGUAAUAAAUACUCUAGGGAUAACAGCG
rnacentral:rRNA from 1 species